UGUAAGCGUAUACCAAAGUUGUUGCAGUUAAAACGCUCGUAGUCGGAAUUUGGCAGUUCCGGAUGUGUGCACGUCGUGUGCGCACUUCGCGGGGAUUGCUUUUGUGGUCUUGCGUAGGAUGAGGCACUUUUAUUAGUGAACGUCCUCACGCAACCAUUUUUUACUGUGAGAAAAUCAGAGUGCUCAAAGCAGGCAUUUGCCGUGAAUGUAUUAGCAUGGAAUAAUAGAAUAGGACUUGGUUCUAUUUUGUUGGUUUGUUGGGACUGAGUAAUGAUUAAGAGGGACAGUUGGGGGCAUUUGUAUUUCGGUGCUAGAGGUGAAAUUCUUAGAUUACCGAAAGACAAACUGCUGCGAAAGCGUCUGCCAAGGAUGCUUUCAUUGA
rnacentral:rRNA from 1 species